ensembl:lncRNA PDE7B-AS1 PDE7B antisense RNA 1
CUUUGCUCCUCCUUUGGCUUCCACCAUGAUUGUGAGGCCUCCCCAGCCAUGUGGAACUCACUUCUCCUUCCUGUCACCAUGUGAAGAAGGACGUGUUUGCUUCCCCUUCUGCUAUGAUUGUAAGCUUCCUGAGGCCUCCCCAGCCCUGCAGAACUAAAUCCAAAGAAGCCACUAUGCUGAAAAUACUUUGAGUGGGUUAGAGUUUCGCUCAAGGAAGUGCUGUAGUAGAAAAUGGCCAUUUCUCUGUGCUGUGUUCAGAGUAAGAGACAUGGGUGAAAGAGUUAUCCGGAAUGGAAUGCUGAGGAGACCCUAAAGGGAAUUUCCGGGUGGAUGGCCAGCACUGUCACUCGAUGAGUGGAGGAUUGACAAACUUGCCAAAUACUGCAAGAAAAGAUGUUGCUGAUCACGGAUAGGAAAUACUCCAAGUCCCAGGAGAUAGUCUGUUCUUAGGAGACUUCCACACCAAGUCUGCUGACCAGAGAAGGACCAGUCAACCACCACACUCUCCGCUGGAGCCCACUCAGCACCAGGAAGAAACAGAUGGAAAAACCUAGACUUGCUCCCUUAGAUCAGUGCUAUUAUCAAUAUCAUCCUCUGAGAGACAAAGCUGUUAAAUUACUUUGCCCAGAUGACAUGGCCAGUGAGUAUGGAGACAGACCGGAAAUUAAGGCUCUGUUCUAGAUUCUCGGAAUAUAGCAGUGAACAAAACAGAUAAAACGUGCCUGCCCCUGUGG